CCUACGGGGGGGCAGCAGUGGGGAAUAUUGCACAAUGGGCGCAAGCCUGAUGCAGCCAUGCCGCGUGUGUGAAGAAGGCCUUCGGGUUGUAAAGCACUUUCAGCGGGGAGGAAGGCGUUAAGGUUAAUAACCUUGUCGAUUGACGUUACCCGCAGAAGAAGCACCGGCUAACUCCGUGCCAGCAGCCGCGGUAAUACGGAGGGUGCAAGCGUUAAUCGGAAUUACUGGGCGUAAAGCGCACGCAGGCGGUCUAUCAAGUCGGAUGUGAAAUCCCCGGGCUCAACCUGGGAACUGCAUUCGAAACUGGCAGGCUAGAGUCUUGUAGAGGGGGGUAGAAUUCCAGGUGUAGCGGUGAAAUGCGUAGAGAUCUGGAGGAAUACCGGUGGCGAAGGCGGCCCCCUGGACAAAGACUGACGCUCAGGUGCGAAAGCGUGGGGAGCAAACAGGAUUAGAUACCCCUGUAGUC
rnacentral:rRNA from 1 species